rnacentral:lncRNA from 1 species
CCCUAGCGGCCGAACAAAAAGCUGAUCCCGAACGGGUACCCUCGCCGUACACCGAAAGAACUCCCCCACUAUGGUCUCGUAUAGUCACCAGCUGACGCUCACAGUCGAUGACAGCGCCGAAUCGGCUCAACCAGUCCAUGCCCACGAUGACACAGACAUCACCCAUCGCAAUAGGAAUCAGGUCAAUCGGGAAUUCAACCCCGAAAAUCUCUAGUACACAUCCCCGAAGAACCUCCGUGGCACAAAUCACUUUCUCGUCAGCUAUAGAAACUCUCAAAGGUCGACUCAACGACUCACGACUAACGCUGAUAUGCUGACUAAAGGCUAAGGACACAAAGGACCUACUCGCACCCGAGUCAAAUAACACUAAGGCAGGCACAGAGUUCACAAGGAAAGUACCUACGCAUAUAAUAACAUAAGCAUAACAUCUCGACAUUAAAAUAAAUACAUGAAUUACAACAUACCUGCCACGACAUCGGGCGCAGCGCGGACCUCCUCCGCAGUCAGCUGAAAGGCUCUCCCACGAGCCCUCGGGGCCUCGACCUUCACCGGUCGAGUCUCAGUAGUCCUGGCAGUAGGUGCAGAUCCCUGACGAAGCUGAGGACACUCGGCCUUCCGAUGGCCGGUCUGGUUGCAAUGAAAGCAAACCGUAAAUCCCUUGGGACACUCCCUAGCAAUGUGCCCCUCCUUGCCACACUUGUAGCAAGCACCAGAUCGACACGCCCCCUCAUGACCCUUGCCGCACUUUCCGCAAGUGCGGCCCUUCGAACCUCCUUUGCUCGCAUCGGCGGACUUUAUCCGCUUGGCUGCCGGCUGGAACUGAGCCGGUCGCCGGUUCACCCGCUGAGACUCGGCCUCCUCCCUGGCCUGGGUCUCCAACUCGAUCUCGCGCUUCCUGGCAUUCGCCUGAAGCUCAGCAAAAGUAUGGUAGGUGGAGUUUGACACAAACUCCCGGAUAUCCCUCCUCAACACUCCCAAGUACCGGCUCAUCCGAGCCUGAUCAGUGGACACCAGCUCGGGGCAGAACAUCGCCCUCUCAUGAAACUUCCGCGUGAUCACCGCAACAGAAUCAGUACCCUGCUUGAGGGUUAAGAACUCCUGAACCAAUCGUUCCCUCUCCACCGGGGGAACGUACUCGUCCCUGAACAUAGCAGUAAACCCCUCCCAUGUCACUGCUGUAAUCUCUGCCAAAGUGAAGUUCGCCGUCACGAACUUCCACCAGUCCUUCGCUCCCAGACGGAGCUGGUUCAAAGCGAACCGUACCCUCAGGUGCUCCGGGCAUGAACAAGUGUAGAAGCACCCCUCUAUAUCCGCGAUCCACCUCAUCGCAGCAAUCGGAUCCUGCGUCCCAUCGAACUCUGGUGGCUUCGUGUUGCUGAACUCUCGGAACAGCAACGAGUCACCCCCCUGUGGCCUAGCAGCGGCCACAGCUGCGGUAGCUGCAGCGGUUGCAGCCUCAGUCAAUGCGGCGUACCGCUCAUCAAACGUCUCCAUCAGGGUGGUCUUAAUAGACCCAAACAUCUCCGGGAUCUCAGCCCGGAUCGCCGCAGCUACCUCCUCGUGAAUCAUCUGACGAAUCUCCUCGUCACUCACACCGCUCGAACUCGCUCCGUGGCGUGGUCUAACCAUGAUGUCUCUGAAAUACAACAUAAAACUAUCAGAGACUCCAUCGAGUAUAAUCGCACUCGAUAACGCAACCCUACUCAGUCUCCGAUAUCCAGGGAUUCUUACUUGGGUCUCCCACUGACCCGGUGUCUUCGGUAGUACGGGCCCAAUACUACCGACCACACCGCAUCAGCAUUCAUCCCAAGUCUUCCUCCCCAAACCCCGGAUAGUGAGUACUCUACUUCUGAUAUGCACUAUCUACCCGCACACUAGCAAAGCAUCUCAUAUCGGCAAACUUCCCUAGACUAAGGCAUCACAAAUCAGGCCACUCUAGUCCUAUCAUGAAUACCUAGUCUUCUAGCAUGCAUAACAAUUCAUAUCAUAUAAUAUUGUAAGGUAUUUUGGGGAUCUUUACCGUUCGGGCGCUGACUGAUCGUACACACUGCUUCUUUCUUGCUUACCACAAAACCAUUUACAAAAGUUUAUGCCUUUAUUUAAAAAGUUUUCCUCAAAUCCUCGGUUUGAGUUCAGUUACUCCCGAAGGUGCACCCGAAUCCCUCAAACCAAGGCUCUGAUACCAAUUGUAACAACUCAAAUUUUCAAACAAAUUUUUCAUUUUAAAAAUAAAGUAUUUCCAUUCAAAACAAGGCAUAAAUAAUUUAAGUGUCAUGUCAAAUACAAACUGUCUAAAUCCCAAGAUCAUAAAAACAUUCUUCAGUGUGUAUCGAUCACGCCGGCGCCUUCCCACGGUCCUCGCUAGUACCUGAAACACAUACAUAACAACUGUAAGCAUAAAUGCUUAGUGAGUUCCCCAAUAUACAACUUACGCACAUACGCCUUUCCAGGCCCUGACCUUCCGGUCCAUGUGUCUCAGGGGACUUCCGUCCCUGCUGGGUAAACCUUCCGGUCCUACCCACGCCGACCUUCCGGUCCAUCACACAACAUAUUGCCUUCCGGCCCAUAACAUAUUGCCUUCCGGCCCAUAAUAUAAUCGCCUUCCGGCCCAUAACAUACAUAGCACAUAUAACAAAUAACUUACCACAUAUAGCAUACAUAUCACAUAUCAUAUCCGACCUUCCGGUCACACAGUCAAACCCUUCCGGGUACAGUAUAGUGAGAAGACUCACCUCGUGAAUGCUGAAAGCUAGCAAAUCCUGAAAUCACUCGUGCACAAUCCGACGAGCUACAACCUCCCUAUAACAUCACAUAUCUCUCAUUAACACUUAUAUCUUCUAAGUGUGACUAUCCCUAAGAAGUCAGACUUAGGUCAACUCUGGUCAACGGUCAACGGUCAACGCGACCGGACUCGGCGAGUGCCAUGGCGACUCGGCGAGUCUAGACGUCCUCCAACUCUCUGAGAUUCCCUAUCUACUCGUCGAGUAUCCUCCUUGACCCGACGAGUUACUCCUGGAAGAAUCGCGGGGCCACCCCGACUCAACUCGCCGAGUCUGAAGAACAACUCGACGAGUCCCAGUUAAUCUUCAAGCUACUCGCCGAGUCUGUUCAUCGAACUCGGCGAGUCCAUGCCAUGCAACCGCUCAAACUGCAUCCUAAGGUCAGAACUGCUUCGACCAUUCCUAGGUCUGGCCUUCCUAGGCUGAUCCAUCACGUAAAGUCCUCAUUUCAGUGCUCAUGAUACACCAUAUGAUUCAUAAUUUACAUUUUGACCUAAGGCAUAAGGAUUCCAAUCCAAAACCUUCAUCAAUUCCCGAAAUGCACAGACAUGGGACAUUCUGGACCUCCAAAGGUCCCAAUACAGGGUUACAAUCGAUUAGGGGACUAGGGUAACAUUCAAUCUAUUCACAAAAGGGUUCCAUAAACCCUAAUUCCAUAAUCACAUCAACAUAGCAGAGUAUACUCGAAUUCUUACCUGGAUGAUGUAUCCUCUGUGUCCCCAAUCCUCAGAAUGUGACUCCCUUGCUGCUCCUUUAGCCAAUCCCUUCUCUUCCUUGCACAACCACUCUUCUAUAAUCAACAAUGGCCUAUAAUCCUUGCUCCAGAUGCACACAAUCGAUUUAGGGUUCUUCUCAGAAGGCUAAAAUGAACAAUGACGGCCAAUGAGUCCUUUUUAUACGUCCCAAACCUGAACGGUUAGGGUUUUCGCUAAACAGCGUAGACUCGCCGAGUCCAUAUCUGGACUCGUCGAGUCCAGUCGCGAACCCGCGACCAAGUCUGCGAUCCUACUCGGCGAGUCUAGGCUCCAACUCGCCGAGUCCCCUCUUAAAUCACCCCAAAAACAUAAUUUAACAAUACCUGAGAUUCCGGGCUGUUACAACUCUCCCCCACUAGGAUUAGACUUCGCCCUCGAAGUCUCACUCUGAAAAUAGUUCCGGAUGCUGCUCCCGCAUCUCACGUUCCGGCUCCCAAGUCAUUUCCGAUCCCUUACGGUGUUGCCACUGAACCAACACCAGAGGUACCUCCUUGUUCCUCAGAACCUUGAUCUUCCGAUCCCUGAUGGCCACUGGUCUCUCAGCAUAAUUCAGGCUCGCAUCCACCUGAAUAUCCUCCAAUGGAACCACUGCCGACUCAUCGGCUAUGCACUUCCUCAAUUGCGACACAUGAAAAGUGUCGUGGAUCUGUCCCAACUCCGCUGGCAACUCCAACCGAUAGGCUACCCGGCCUAUCCUUGCAAUCACACGAAAUGGCCCAAUAUACCGGGGCCCCAACUUGCCCCUCUUCCUGAAUCGAAUCACUCCUUUCCAAGGAGAGACCUUCAGGAGAACGAAGUCGCCGACUUGAAACUCAAGCUCGGAUCGGCGCCUGUCUGCAUAACUCUUCUGUCGGCUCUGGGCGGUCAAUAACCUCUGUCUAACUUGCUGAAUCUGCUCUGUCGUCUGAAGCACGAUCUCUGUGCUGCCCAUCACUCUCUGUCCCACCUCUCCCCAGCAAAUGGGGGUCCGACACCUCCUACCAUACAACAGCUCAAAAGGUGGCAUACCAAUGCUCGAAUGAUGGCUGUUGUUGUAGGAAAACUCUGCUAAGGGUAAAUAUGCAUCCCAGCUACCCCCGAAGUCUAACACACACGCUCGAAGCAUGUCCUCCAGCGUCUGAAUCGUCCGCUCGCUCUGACCGUCUGUCUGGGGAUGGUAUGCGGUACUAAAAUGCAAUUUAGUACCCAGCUCCUCAUGGAAUUUCUUCCAGAACCUGGAAGUGAAGCGCACAUCACGGUCUGAAACAAUCGAGAUCGGCACCCCAUGCCGAGAUACCACUUCUCUCACAUAUAUCUCCGCCAACUUCUCCGCUGAAGAACUCUCACUGAUGGCAAGGAAGUGAGCACUCUUCGUCAACCUAUCCACAAUCACCCAAAUUGCAUCAACUCCUCUGGCAGUCCUCGGCAAUUUGGUGAUGAAAUCCAUAGUGAUCUGUUCCCACUUCCACUCGGGGAUCUCCAAUGGCUGUAACUUGCCAUGCGGUCUCUGGUGCUCGGCCUUAACCCUACGGCAGGUCAAGCACCUCUCAACGAACCAUGCAACGUCCCUCUUCAUACAGGGCCACCAAUACUCUUUCCUCAAAUCCAAAUACAUCUUCGUAGCACCGGGAUGGAUCGAGAAUUUCGAUCUAUGAGCCUCUUCCAUCAAAGUAAUACGCGUACCGCCCACGAACGGUACCCAAAUCCGACCCUGAAACGUCAUAAGCCCUCGUCCAUCCUUAACGAACUCUGAAAUUAACCCCACAACCCGCUCUUUCUUCUGCAUUUCUGGUCGCACAGCUUCGGCCUGUGCCCCACGAAUAGCAUCCAAUACUGGAGUCAUCACAGUCAGUCUCAAGCAUACAUCUCGCAAUGGAGUGCUCUCCGCCCUGCGGCUCAACGCGUCGGCUACCACAUUAGCCUUACCUGGGUGGUACAGGAUCUCACAAUCAUAAUCCUUGACCACAUCCAACCACCUCCUCUGACGCAUAUUUAGGUUGGGCUGAUCCAUCAAAUACUUCAAGCUCUUAUGGUCCGUGUAUAUCGUACAUCGAACCCCAUACAGGUAGUGACGCCAAAUCUUGAGAGCGAACACUACUGCCCCCAACUCUAAAUCAUGCGUGGGAUAUCUCGCCUCAUGAGGCUUCAGCUGCCUCGACGCAUAAGCUAUCACAUGACCCCUCUGCAUCAACACUGCACCCAGUCCCGAAAUCGAUGCGUCGCAAUAUACCACAAAAUCUUCCAUCCCUUCUGGGAGAGCUAAUACCGGGGCUUCGCACAACCUCUGGCGAAGUGUCUCAAAGGAGGUCUGCUGCUCGGGCCCCCAUGAGAAUGCAACACCCUUCCGGGUCAAUCUGGUGAGUGGCACUGCGAUCUUGGAGAAAUCCUUGAUGAAUCUCCGAUAAUACCCUGCCAACCCAAGGAAGCUCCUGAUCUCAGAGGGUGACUUCGGCACCUCCCAACUCAUCACCGCCUCAACCUUGGCCGGAUCGACCAAUAUCCCUUUCUGAUUAACAACAUGUCCUAGAAAUUGGACCUCCCGCAACCAGAAGUCACAUUUGGAGAACUUUGCAUAAAGCUUCUCCGACCUCAAUACCUCAAGGACCUCCCUCAAAUGCUCCUCAUGCUGCUCUCUAGAUCUCGAAUACACCAGAAUGUCGUCGAUAAAUACAAUCACUGACCGAUCCAACAUCGGCCUGCAUACCCUGUUCAUGAGAUCCAUGAACACAGCCGGGGCAUUGGUGAGUCCGAAAGGCAUCACCACAAACUCAUAAUGCCCAUAUCGCGUCCUAAACGCUGUCUUCUGGACGUCCUCAUCCCGCACUCUCACCUGAUGGUACCCUGACCUCAGAUCGAUCUUGGAAAACCAAGAUGCUCCCUGCAACUGAUCGAAUAAAUCAUCGAUCCUCGGUAACGGGUAACGGUUCUUGACCGUCAACUUGUUCAACUCCCGGUAAUCAAUGCACAUCCGGUGUGAACCAUCCUUCUUCUUGACGAACAGAAUAGGUGCUCCCCACGGCGAGCUGCUCGGCCGAAUGAAUCCCUUCCCCAGCAACUCCUGGAGCUGCGAGGACAACUCUUGCAUCUCUGGAGGUGCAAGACGAUAAGGCACCUUAGCAAUAGGCGCGGCCCCCGGAACCAGAUCGAUACCAAACUCUACUUGCCUCACAGGAGGUACUCCCGGCAGCUCCUCGGGGAAAACAUCUGGAAACUCACGCACCACAGGGACCUCCUCAACUGACUUCGGUCUCUCGGAAACCUCCCGCGUAUCCAUCACAUACGCCACAAAACCCUUACAGCCCUGCUGUAGACACUGCCUCGCCCUAGCGGCCGAACAAAAAGCUGAUCCCGAACGGGUACCCUCGCCGUACACCGAAAGAACUCCCCCACUAUGGUCUCGUAUAGUCACCAGCUGACGCUCACAGUCGAUGACAGCGCCGAAUCGGCUCAACCAGUCCAUGCCCACGAUGACACAGACAUCACCCAUCGCAAUAGGAAUCAGGUCAAUCGGGAAUUCAACCCCGAAAAUCUCUAGUACACAUCCCCGAAGAACCUCCGUGGCACAAAUCACUUUCUCGUCAGCUAUAGAAACUCUCAAAGGUCGACUCAACGACUCACGACUAGCGCUGAUAUGCUGACUAAAGGCUAAGGACACAAAGGACCUACUCGCACCCGAGUCAAAUAACACUAAGGCAGGCACAGAGUUCACAAGGAAAGUACCUACGCAUAUAAUAACAUAAGCAUAACAUCUCGACAUUAAAAUAAAUACAUGAAUUACAACAUACCUGCCACGACAUCGGGCGCAGCGCGGACCUCCUCCGCAGUCAGCUGAAAGGCUCUCCCACGAGCCCUCGGGGCCUCGACCUUCACCGGUCGAGUCUCAGUAGUCCUGGCAAUAGGUGCAGAUCCCUGACGAAGCUGAGGGCACUCGGCCUUCCGAUGGCCGGUCUGGUUGCAAUGAAAGCAAACCAUAAACCCCUUGGGACACUCCCUAGCAAUGUGCCCCUCCUUGCCACACUUGUAGC